rnacentral:lncRNA from 1 species
AUAGGAAAUUUGUGGAUCCUGAGAAGCCUUCAAGUAUGUUGCUAACCACUGCUGUCUUUCUAGGUUUUUUUUUUUUAAGCCUCUUCCACAGAUUUAAAACCUGAAAUUCAUUCAGGAGAAAGGAAGGCUGGAUGUUGCCUCUAUACUAUAAAGAGAAGAAGAGGGUGAGAGUCUAGAGUCGAGAAUGCUGGAGAUAGGAAGUUUGUGGAUCCUGAGAAGCCUUCAAGUAUGAUUCUCCAGACUCAGCAUUCACAUUUCUGGGAGAGAGAAACAGAAGCUGCUGUUCAGUCAGGAAUUGAUGCUUCUGACAUUGGCAGCUUGCAGGUGCUCUUCUGUGAGCCUUUAGAAGGAUGCUCAACAUGUGGCAUUGCAAGAACAGUUUCAGCAAACUUUAGGCUGACUCAAUGCCAGAGCAGAGAAAUCACAUUAUAUCCUGAAGGAAAUAAUUCAAGCACCUCACCUGGCAAUUCUGCUGAUAUUUGUUCCUUCUGGAUACACAGCCUUUACUUGGAACUGUCGGCUCUCGCCCAAAUUGUUAGUUAGGAGCUUCCCAAAACACAGCAGGACAACAGACAUGGCUGUCUUCCAAAGAUCAACUGCCAGAAGCUACCAGAAAAAAGGUACCUGCUUGGUUCCUUCCUAAAAUGAGAACAGACUGUGAAGACCAGCUUCCAAACAGCUGUGUAUUGCUGUGGAAAUGAUUACCAAAUUCACAAAAUAAGUAAUAAACCAGCCUAUAUCUCAGCUGUUAGCUUUUUA